GAUGAACGCUGGCGGCGUGCUUAAUACAUGCAAGUCGAACGGAGACAGUAGCAAUAUUGUCUUAGUGGCGAACGGGUGAGUAACGCGUUGGUGACCUGCCCCGAAGAGGGGGAUAACAGUCCGAAAGGAUUGCUAAUACCCCAUGUGGUCAUUUGGAUUAGAUGCCUUAUGGCUAAACGGAUUUAUUCGCUUCGGGAGGGGCCUGCGUCCCAUCAGCUAGUUGGUAAGGUAAUGGCUUACCAAGGCGAUGACGGGUAGGGGACCUGAGAGGGUGGCCCCCCACAAUGGAACUGAAACACGGUCCAUACACCUACGGGUGGCAGCAGUAGGGAAUAUUGGUAAUGUGCGAAAGCGCGAACCAGCAACGCCGCGUGCGCGAUGAAGGCCUUCGGGUUGUAAAGCGCUUUUUAUGGGGAUGAGGAAGGACAGUACUCAUAGAAUAAGCCUCGGCUAACUACGUGCCAGCCGCCGCAGUAAGAC
rnacentral:rRNA from 1 species